UAAUAAGUGAACCAAGCGCAGACGUAAAUAAAUGUAAUAUGGUGAAGACAUAUUAUUCUGACUUUAAAAAUGGAACGGCCAAAUGUAAUUUGUGCCUUAAAGUAAUAAAAACAAGUGGUAACACGACAAAUAUGGCAUCUCAUAUGAAAAACAAGCACUACGAUGUUUUUGUAAAGUGCAACCAAAAAAAGGUUUCUAUUAACUCUGGAGAAAACCAAACAAUUGAACAACCUCUCAG